rnacentral:rRNA from 1 species
GAUGAACGCUAGCGGCAGGCUUAACACAUGCAAGUCGAGGGGUAGAGGAAGCUUGCUUCCUUGAGACCGGCGCACGGGUGCGUAACGCGUAUGCAACCUACCUUUUACAGAGGGAUAGCCCAGAGAAAUUUGGAUUAAUACCUCAUGGUAUUUUCGAAUCGCAUGGUUUGAUUAUUAAAGUUCCAACGGUAAAGAUGAGUAUGCGUCCCAUUAGCUAGAUGGUAAGGUAACGGCUUACCAUGGCGAUGAUGGGUAGGGGUCCUGAGAGGGAGAUCCCCCACACUGGUACUGAGACACGGACCAGACUCCUACGGGAGGCAGCAGUGAGGAAUAUUGGACAAUGGGCGCAAGCCUGAUCCAGCCAUGCCGCGUGCAGGAAGACGGUCCUAUGGAUUGUAAACUGCUUUAUACAGGAAGAAACACCUCUACGUGUAGAGACUUGACGGUACUGUAUGAAUAAGCAUCGGCUAACUCCGUGCCAGCAG